rnacentral:rRNA from 1 species
CCAAUAGCGUAUAUUAAAGUUGUUGCAGUUAAAAAGCUCGUAGUUGAAUUUCAGGCCUGGCUGGACGGUCCGCCCUUCGGGUGAGUACUGUCUGUGGUCGGGUCCUACCUUCUGGCGAAGCGUCAUGGCCUUAACCGGCCGUGGCGGGGAACCAGGACUUUUACUGUGAAAAAAUUAGAGUGUUCAAAGCAAGCAAUCGCUUGGAUACAUUAGCAUGGAAUAAUGGAAUAGGACAAUGGUUCUAUUUGUUGGUUUCUAGGACCGUUGUAAUGAUUAAUAGGGAUAGUUGGGGGCAUUAGUAUUCAAUUGUCAGAGGUGAAAUUCUUGGAUUUAUUGAAGACUAACUACUGCGAAAGCAUUUGCCAAGGAUGUUUUCAUUAAUCAAGAACGAAAGUUAGGGGAUCGAAGACGAUCAGAUACCGUCGUAGUCUUAACCAUAAACUAUGCCGACUAGGGAUCGGAUGAUGUUAAUUUUUUAAUGACUCAUUCGGCGCCUUACG